rnacentral:rRNA from 1 species
GACGAACGCUGGCGGCGUGCCUUACACAUGCAAGUCGAACGGCAGCAUGGAAGAGCUUGCUCUUCUGAUGGCGAGUGGCGAACGGGUGAGUAAAGCAUCGGAACGUACCGUGUAAUGGGGGAUAACGUAGCGAAAGUUACGCUAAUACCGCAUACGACCUGAGGGUGAAAGCAGGGGAUCGCAAGACCUUGCGUUAUACGAGCGGCCGAUGUCAGAUUAGCUAGUUGGUGAGGUAAAGGCUCACCAAGGCGACGAUCUGUAGCGGGUCUGAGAGGAUGAUCCGCCCCACUGGGACUGAGACACGGCCCAGACUCCUACGGGAGGCAGCAGUGGGGAAUUGUGGACAAUGGGGGCAACCCUGAUCCAGCCAUGCCGCGUGAGUGAAGAAGGCCUUCGGGUUGUAAAGCUCUUUCGGCCGGGAAGAAAUCGCACAGGCUAAUACUCUGUGUGGAUGACGGUACCGGCAUAAGAAGCACCGGCUAACUACGUGCCAGCCGCCGCGGUAA